GACGAACGCUGGCGGCGUGCUUAACACAUGCAAGUCGAACGGAAAGGCCCUGCUUUUGUGGGGUGCUCGAGUGGCGAACGGGUGAGUAACACGUGAGUAACCUGCCCUUGACUUUGGGAUAACUUCAGGAAACUGGGGCUAAUACCGGAUAGGAGCUCCUGCUGCAUGGUGGGGGUUGGAAAGUUUCGGCGGUUGGGGAUGGACUCGCGGCUUAUCAGCUUGUUGGUGGGGUAGUGGCUUACCACGGCUUUGACGGGUAGCCGGCCUGAGGGGGUGACCGGCCACAUUGGGACUGAGAUACGGCCCGGACUCCAACGGGGGGCAGCAGUGGGAAAUAUUGCACAAUGGGCGGAAGCCUAAUGCAGCAACGCCGCGUGCGGGAUGACGGCCUUCGGGUUGUAAACCGCUUUCGCAUGUGACGAAGCGUGAGUGACGGUAAUGGGUAAAGAAGCACCGGCUAACUACGUG
rnacentral:rRNA from 1 species